AUCGGAAAAAAAUCACAUUUAUUCUAAACCAAUUGUUGACAUGACACGGGUUAUGUUCUCCACAUAUAUUUUAUGACGGUAUAAUACAAAAUCCGUAACGGGAGGGAUUGUGCUUGAUAUUCAUAUGAUAAAGACAUAAUCUUUCAAUGAGUUUAAUUGAGGUCUGGAGCCGGCAUGUCUAUAACUGCUAGAAGUCUUUUAUUAUUU
rnacentral:lncRNA from 1 species